rnacentral:lncRNA from 1 species
GGCGGAAGUGUGCUCACGGCCACAAGCAAUGUCAAGCCACCGGGAAUUUCCGCCGGCGGGACAACCAAACAGCUCUGGCGGAAGCUGUCUCGGGACCCUCAAGUUGUGCUCUUUGCCCCUUCGACCCGUUUGACCCGAUUGGUUAUAUCCCCACACGUAGAUUGCGCUCUUCGUGGGGACGUUUUCCCGCCGUGAAUCCCCAAAUAUCUCGUCGAUCUCCAUCUCUCUUUAUUUCUUAUUAUCAAUACCACCAAUUCAAGAAGAAAUCACAGAGCCAAUGUAGGAAACGGAUAAAUAACUGUUACUGGAAUGAAUUUGGGGAAUGGGAAAUGAGAAAUUAAUAAAGUUACUUGUUACCUGCGAAGAAUUUUUAGCUUAAUUUUCGAGGGAAAUUGUGUUGUUUAAGUUCCGAACACCUUGGGGAUGAAGGGCCACUUGCCUCGAACCGGGCUGCCCGACCGACUGCCCGUGUUGAC